GUGCUCGCUUCAGCAGCACAUAUACUAAAAUUGGAACUAUACAGAGAUGAUUAGCAUCCCCCCCCCAAAAAAAAAGAUCGUGAAAGUAUUC
rnacentral:snRNA from 1 species